rnacentral:lncRNA from 1 species
ACUCUCAGCGAGGAUGCUUAUUGUGGGAGGGUGUCGCUGUCUCCGGCAUCCAAGCUGAAUUCCUUGGGGUUAACCUCAGACCCAGUUGCACUUGGCAGACUUUAGAGAUCUGUUUCGUUCUGAAGGAUUCCAGAAACUUCUUGCAGCUUUAACUGAUGUGACUUCAGAUGAGUAGUGAACCCAUACCGUGGGAGACUGUUGGAGAAAACUGAUCGUAGCUAUUCCUGCUCACUGUAAUUCAGCACUUACUGCGGGGCAGGGCCCGCUGAUAUGCUUCAUCCUUUCCAUGGAAUUUUGAUGUGGAUACUUCUUGGUAGAUGAGGAAAACUGAGUCAAAGAAAGUGGUUCAAGGGCACAUGGCUCUGGUCCUUCGGUGACUCAAACCCAGACCUUUCUUCCCCGAGUCUCAGGGUUACCCCAGGCUCCUCCUCUUAAGCAUCAAGCAGCUUCUCUUCAUACAGCUCAGCGGGUUGCCUGCGUGAUGAAUCAAUUAAUGAGGCCUCAUUGAUUUUCCCAGGACCUGGAAGAAAGACUGUGAUAAACCCAAGACGCGUACAGCUUCAUCAGCCCCAAGGACAUGACGAAUGUUUCUCUUCCUUGAACUUUGCUUGGCUUCCCGAGGAGAUAACUUAUUUUUAUUUCUCUCUCUCUUUCUUUAUUUUGUAUCAGCCUGUAUUAAAGUCCUAUAAAUAACCUUGGAGACACACGCAACAGAUUCGUUUAAUUUUGCUUGAGUUAUCCUAAGUCGGAACAGAUGUGUGUUUGCGAUAGAAGAGGGAGGAGGAGGCUGACUCAUAGGUGUGGGGAGAGAGAGAGAGAGAUGAGAAGCCAAUUGGCAUCUGUGUUGGAACAUCGGACUGGUUUUAGGAGGUAGGCAAACAGCGCCGGCUCAGCCUGGCGGGGUUCUGCUUGGAUCUGGGGACAUCUGCCACAGCUGAGUCCCUGGGAAGCCGAGAUACCAAGUGAUGGGACGGGGAGGCGGGGGGCAGGGGGGUCACAUGCAUAGCAUGAUGUGUGUGGAGUUCCCUUCAUGGCUCAGUGGGGAACGAACCCCACGAAGAUCCAUGAGGAUGCAAGUUUGAUCCCUGGCCUUGAUCCGUGGGUUCAGGAUCCGGCAUCGCCGUG